GAUGAACGCUGGCGGCGUGCCUAAUACAUGCAAGUCGAGCGAACAGACGAGGAGCUUGCUCCUCUGACGUUAGCGGCGGACGGGUGAGUAACACGUGGAUAACCUACCUAUAAGACUGGGAUAACUUCGGGAAACCGGAGCUAAUACCGGAUAACAUGUUGAACCGCAUGGUUCAACAGUGAAAGACGGUUUUGCUGUCACUUAUAGAUGGAUCCGCGCCGCAUUAGCUAGUUGGUAAGGUAACGGCUUACCAAGGCAACGAUGCGUAGCCGACCUGAGAGGGGGAUCGCCCACCGUGGAAUGGAACCCGGUCCCAACCCCCAACGGGGGGCAGAGGUGGGAAAUCUCCCGCAAGGGGCGAAAGCCUGACGGGGCAACGCGGCGGGAGGAAAAAAGGUUUUCGGAUCGAAAAACUUUUUUAUUGGGAAAAAAAAAAUGUGAAAUAAACUAUGCCCGUCUGGAGGGUCCCUAAUAAGAAAGCCCCGGCUAACUACGGC
rnacentral:rRNA from 1 species